AAGCUCCAGCCUGCUGCCUCUGAAGUUGGUGGCAGACUCCCCACUGACUUCAGUGGAGCUGAGAUUGUGCUGUAAAUAAAUAUAUCUGCUUCCAAAGGGUACAAGAGACAGAUCAAACAAGAGUGAGCUUUUCUUGUAUGUAGUAAGAUCUUUUUCCUCCAUUUCCUCCAUGGAUUUCUAAGGCAUUAAAUUUUCAUUAAAAAGAAAAUUACUUAAAAAUUUCAUUUACCUAGAGCCUCUGACCAUAUGCAGCCAUAUUGCCACAUAAGAAGCAAGUGUAUUAUCAGCUCCUAUUGGAAAUAAAGCUAUCUGUGCUUCAGCUGUGUACUGCUGCUGAGCAGGGAGAUGCCGCCUGAAUCUGCUGUCAGAGCAGCUCUCCAGGCUGGUGGGAGCUGACAGAUGGUUGCUCUGAAGUAUUUCCAAAAGAGGGGAAAAAAACAAGAAUCUCCCCACCCACUGCAAGUCCGUUGUUACUGCUGCAUUGUUGCUUGGUUGUUGCCCAUUUUAUGAGGGGAGCAGACCCAAGAAAUAAGAAGCAGAAAAGUCUUGGGAGUUUUUCUAGGAAUUGAUGUUUCUCUUUCAGCCAUGGUUCACCAAUGGGACCAUUAACAAGUGGGUCUGUUCCUCUGGGUCUCUGUGCUCCCAUUUUCUUCUUCCUUAAGAGCAGCAGUAACAGCCCCUUCAUCCCUUUCCUACCCCACACCUGUGAGAAGCAUAAAAACAAUAAAUAUUGUGAGCAACCCUUAUUUAUCACCUCUCUUGCCUCCAAUAUAUUUUUAUGCUUACAGUGGAAAUGUCCAAAUACUCUUUCACAAUAAGUCCCCUCUUAUAAGGUAAAGUAUCUCAUGGUGCUUGAAGUAGCAUGCACAUCACUGCACAGACCACAUUGUCCAAGCAGGUACAUGCAUAUGCUAUGGGCCUUUUGGGACCUAUCCUUUACAGAGUAAGUGUAUUUUAUAUGAUGGUUAUACUUGUCAGCACUUCACACUUCCUCCUCUGACAUUAGUUAGCUGGGGUUGGCAAUUCACCAUUGCUUUGACAUCUGGCAGUACAAUCAAAGCAGAAUCUCGCUUGCUGAGGCUGCAAGGCAAGCAAAAAUGUGCUUCCUUACAGCUCUAUCACCUCAUCCUCUUUCAUAGCAGCAAGUUCACAGCUGCCCCUGUGCCAAAGCUCUUUGACUACUAAGGGGAUGGUUCCACACCAGGAUUGGUCCACCAGCAAAGCCAGUGUAAUAGGUUUGCCUGAGUUCAAGCCCCCACCCACGGGUGCUUCAGCCCUUUCAGGUGUGCUUACUCAAUUUUUCUGUGGUUAUGCCCUCAAACUUGUUUGAAGUGGAUUUGCUGCUGGGGCAACUGUAAUGUAGCACAUCACUCAGAUUCAACUACUUUUGCCAAACCUGUAAGAUUACCUGUUUACUAUGCUGUAAAAUACUAAUGAAUGUAGUAAAGUCUGGACUUAAAAAAAUAAUUAGCAAAACAAAAAGGAAAUGUGAUGUGUUGUUUUGUAUUUUUUUAAUGGAAGAGAGGCUGAUCCAGCUUCCACUAAAUUAGGGUUUAUUCCUAUGCUUCCUAUAAUAAAGUGUAUUUAUUUCCAGACCAGAACAUGCACACAAGAACUUAGAAACACAGAUUUCUCAAGCUGAGAGAGACAGGAGAGGAUCUAACAUGGACUAAGCUCAACCCUUCCCAAUGUGCCCAUGCCCAUUCGUACCUGGGUUGUUAAGUGGCAUUAAGUCAAAGGAUGCAGUUAACUGUCCACCAGCACAACCACAUGUGACCCUGCCACAGGAGCUAUCCUGGUCAAUGCCCUCAGACAGAAAAAUCUUUCAUAGCAAUACAAGAACAUCAGUGAGGGAAUGAGACAAGCUGUAGAACAGUUCUGUAUCAGACAGAUGAUUCAUUGGGUCUACCAUCACUUUUGCUGAAAAUGAA